rnacentral:rRNA from 1 species
UCAGUAAGCGGAGGAAAAGAAACUAACCAGGAUUCUCCUAGUAACGGCGAGUGAACGGAGAUUAGCCCAUCACCGAAGUCCAUUCACUAUUGUGGACAGGACAAUGUGGUGUUUGGGCAUGCACCUGGGAGCGCUUGCCUACUCGAAGUCCAUCUCCGAUUCUGGCCUGGACUUGACCCAUAGCGGGUGAAAGGCCCGUGCGGGUAGGCUAUUGUUGCAAUAAGCGAUCCUCAGAUGUGCAUGCCCUCGAGUCGGAUUGCUUGAGAAUGCAGUCCAAAGUGGGUGGUAAACUCCAUCCAAGGCUAAAUACUGGCACGAGUCCGAUAGUAGACAAGUACCGUGAGGGAAAGUUGAAAAGUACUCUGAAGAGAGAGUAAAUAGCACGUGAAGCCGCUUGCAGGGAAGCUGGUGGAGUCAAGCUUCAUGUCGGGAGAAUUGCCGCGAGAGUGUCAGUGUGGCGGGACGUGAUGCCGGUUAACCUGGAAACGGUUUGGUGCAGUAACAUGCACUUCAAGUCGCUCCGGGUAGAGUGUUUGUGCCGGCAUCUAUCUCCCUGCUCUUGCGGUUUAUUCUCCCUGGCAUACAUCACAGUCAAUAGGAUAAUGUGCACACGUGCUGUGUGAGCGCUUAACCGUGCCUUUGUGGACUUAACCGUCUGCUUGACAUGGAAUGGCAGAAGGCAUGUGUGAACCUCCGGUUCUCACUAUGCGUAUUGUGGUUUUGACCUGCUAGCGCUCAUGUACAGUAUCAGUCCUAUUGGUCAUAUGCGAUGCUU